AACUCUCAAACCCAAGUUUUGGAUGAAAGUCCUUGCUUGAGUUUGGAUUUGGGUGUUUGCCGGUGAUGAACCGACUCGCCUUAAAUAAAUUAGCUGGAUCUGUCUUUACGACUGGUUUGACUUGGCAUAAUAAGUAUUUUGCUGAGGACAUCUUCGGAUGGCCAGGACCUAGACUAUUAAUCCGCUAACUAAACCUUCACUUUAAGUGUAUCUUCGGAUCUCACUCAUUGUGUAUCUUGAC
rnacentral:misc_RNA from 1 species